CGUCUGGAAAGGCGUGCGAUACAGGGUGACAGCCCCGUACACAAAAAUGCACAUAUUGUGAGCUUGAUGAGUAGGGCGGGACACGUGGUAUCCUGUCUGAAUAUGGGGGGACCAUCCUCCAAGGCUAAAUACUCCUGACUGACCGAUAGUGAACCAGUACCGUGAGGGAAAGGCGAAAAGAACCCCGGCGAGGGGAGUGAAAAAGAACCUGAAACCGUGUACGUACAAGCAGUGGGAGCACGCUUAGGCGUGUGACUGCGUACCUUUUGUAUAAUGGGUCAGCGACUUAUAUUCUGUAGCAAGGUUAACCGAAUAGGGGAGCCGAAGGGAAACCGAGUCUUAACUGGGCGUUAAGUUGCAGGGUAUAGACCCGAAACCCGGUGAUCUAGCCAUGGGCAGGUUGAAGGUUGGGUAACACUAACUGGAGGACCGAACCGACUAAUGUUGAAAAAUUAGCGGAUGACUUGUGGCUGGGGGUGAAAGGCCAAUCAAACCGGGAGAUAGCUGGUUCUCCCCGAAAGCUAUUUAGGUAGCGCCUCGUGAAUUCAUCUCCGGGGGUAGAGCACUGUUUCGGCA
rnacentral:rRNA from 1 species